AAGAGUAAAGUACUUCCGCUUCCUUAGGUGGAGCUGGAAAGGUGGAGGCGGAAGUGACUGAUCAAUUCAGGGGCGUGGGGUUCGUUUAGGUUUUGCCCUGUGUAUGACCUCGUUUGGAGCCAUGAAACCAGGUGGCUUUUCUACAAUAUAAAGAUGGAAAUGGGAAGAAGAUGUUCAUUGCAAAUUAAGAUAAAUAUCAAGGAGUGCAAUUCCUGGAUUUAUGAUGUCUGAGGAAUAGUCUUAGUGGAUUAUCCCAAACUUGACACAUUUUUUGCAAAAUGCUAUACAAAAAGAAGAUACAUGCGAUUAUGACAAGAUUCUCCACUUGGUGUGACCAGUCUCAUACAACCCAAGGCUGUGUGUCCAAAGGCAACUGUACUGCACAUGACAGAAUUGCUCUGUUGAAGUUUUGCAAGGUCAAAUGACUCACUUUGUCUAAUGGAACGGGAACGAACAAUUUUUUUGUGUCACGUUUGAACAGAUACCUUUGAGAAGUUUAUGAUUCUCCAAGUUCUCUUUCUCCUACUGUGGCACCUACUGACAAGAUAAAUGUGUAGAGGUUCCUGAGUCUAGGGGCACUGGAACCAGCUGACUGAUCUAUGGAAGUUCCCUUGGUCUCCAUUUGUUUAGAAAAGGGAUGAAGAAACUGAGGCCCACAGAAGGUGGGUGAUACCUGCAAAAUCACAAGCUUUCAUGGUGAAAGAAGAGGGCAAAACUCAACCCGUCUCUUUAGACUUGGGAAGAAUAUGAAAGGACCAGGAGGGACACCUUUCCUAAUAACCUAGCUGAUGGUUCACUUAUUGUAAGCACAUUCUCAAACAAGAGGCUGGAAAGCUGAAAAAUGACAUUCCCAGACUCCAUUGAAAUUAGAUUUCCAGAGGUGAUUUAUGUUCCACACAUCAGAUGUAUAUGCUCAAGAUUUGUUUAACAGGGAAGGAGGCAGUGGUGUGUGGGUCCCUUUUGCUCAUGUGAAUCUUACAGAGUUGUCUCACUAAGCCCAAAUUUGUCUAACUGGCCUUAUUUCCCUGGAGUAUAUCCUGGAAGUUUCCAUUCAAGCCAAUUUAAGUUACUUUAAAUUAGGAAAGGCAGAAAACAAAAGCCCAAACCUUUGUAAAGGAGGAGGAUUUGCUACAUUGUUCUCAAUUCAUCACAGAAGAGGAUGAAACUGAGUGAUUACACUUGCUGGAGAGAAAAAAAGUCCUUCCCCCGCUCACCCCAAAUAAAGCAUUAACUUUAUGUUAAUCCAUGAA
rnacentral:lncRNA from 1 species